rnacentral:rRNA from 1 species
CCUACGGGAGGCAGCAGUAGGGAAUCUUCCGCAAUGGGCGAAAGCCUGACGGAGCAACGCCGCGUGAGUGAUGAAGGUCUUCGGAUCGUAAAACUCUGUUAUCAGGGAAGAACAAAUGUGUAAGUAACUGUGCACAUCUUGACGGUACCUGAUCAGAAAGCCACGGCUAACUACGUGCCAGCAGCCGCGGUAAUACGUAGGUGGCAAGCGUUAUCCGGAAUUAUUGGGCGUAAAGCGCGCGUAGGCGGUUUUUUAAAGUCUGAUGUGAAAGCCCACGGCUCAACCGUGGAGGGUCAUUGGAAACUGGAAAACUUGAGUGCAGAAGAGGAAAGUGGAAUUCCAUGCGUAGCGGUGAAAUGCGCAGAGAUAUGGAGGAACACCAGUGGCGAAGGCGACUUUCUGGUCUGUAACUGACGCUGAUGUGCGAAAGCGUGGGGAUCAAACAGGAUUAGAUACCCUGGUAGUCCACGCCGUAAACGAUGAGUGCUAAGUGUUAGGGGUUUCCGCCCUUAGUGCUGCGNGCGACGCGAUAGACGACGCCGUCCGUGGGUAGGUUACGACCGCGAGGUUAGUAACGUUACGAGAGAGUUAGACGGCGNGAGACGNGCGACGGCGACGACGAGGGAGGAGG